rnacentral:rRNA from 1 species
GUGUGACUGCGUACCUUUUGUAUAAUGGGUCAGCGACUUAUAUUCUGUAGCAAGGUUAACCGAAUAGGGGAGCCGAAGGGAAACCGAGUCUUAACUGGGCGUUAAGUUGCAGGGUAUAGACCCGAAACCCGGUGAUCUAGCCAUGGGCAGGUUGAAGGUUGGGUAACACUAACUGGAGGACCGAACCGACUAAUGUUGAAAAAUUAGCGGAUGACUUGUGGCUGGGGGUGAAAGGCCAAUCAAACCGGGAGAUAGCUGGUUCUCCCCGAAAGCUAUUUAGGUAGCGCCUCGUGAAUUCAUCUCCGGGGGUAGAGCACUGUUUCGGCAAGGGGGUCAUCCCGACUUACCAACCCGAUGCAAACUGCGAAUACCGGAGAAUGUUAUCACGGGAGACACACGGCGGGUGCUAACGUCCGUCGUGAAGAGGGAAACAACCCAGACCGCCAGCUAAGGUCCCAAAGUCAUGGUUAAGUGGGAAACGAUGUGGGAAGGCCCAGACAGCCAGGAUGUUGGCUUAGAAGCAGCCAUCAUUUAAAGAAAGCGUAAUAGCUCACUGGUCGAGUCGGCCUGCGCGGAAGAUGUAACGGGGCUAAACCAUGCACCGAAGCUGCGGCAGCGACGCUUAUGCGUUGUUGGGUAGGGGAGCGUUCUGUAAGCCUGUGAAGGUGUACUGUGAGGUAUGCUGGAGGUAUCAGAAGUGCGAAUGCUGACAUAAGUAACGAUAAAGCGGGUGAAAAGCCCGCUCGCCGGAAGACCAAGGGUUCCUGUCCAACGUUAAUCGGGGCAGGGUGAGUCGACCCCUAAGGCGAGGCCGAAAGGCGUAGUCGAUGGGAAACAGGUUAAUAUUCCUGUACUUGGUGUUACUGCGAAGGGGGGACGGAGAAGGCUAUGUUGGCCGGGCGACGGUUGUCCCGGUUUAAGCGUGUAGGCUGGUUUUCCAGGCAAAUCCGGAAAAUCAAGGCUGAGGCGUGAUGACGAGGCACUACGGUGCUGAAGCAACAAAUGCCCUGCUUCCAGGAAAAGCCUCUAAGCAUCAGGUAACAUCAAAUCGUACCCCAAACCGACACAGGUGGUCAGGUAGAGAAUACCAAGGCGCUUGAGAGAACUCGGGUGAAGGAACUAGGCAAAAUGGUGCCGUAACUUCGGGAGAAGGCACGCUGAUAUGUAGGUGAAGUCCCUCGCGGAUGGAGCUGAAAUCAGUCGAAGAUACCAGCUGGCUGCAACUGUUUAUUAAAAACACAGCACUGUGCAAACACGAAAGUGGACGUAUACGGUGUGACGCCUGCCCGGUGCCGGAAGGUUAAUUGAUGGGGUCAGCGCAAGCGAAGCUCUUGAUCGAAGCCCCGGUAAACGGCGGCCGUAACUAUAACGGUCCUAAGGUAGCGAAAUUCCUUGUCGGGUAAGUUCCGACCUGCACGAAUGGCGUAAUGAUGGCCAGGCUGUCUCCACCCGAGACUCAGUGAAAUUGAACUCGCUGUGAAGAUGCAGUGUACCCGCGGCAAGACGGAAAGACCCCGUGAACCUUUACUAUAGCUUGACACUGAACAUUGAGCCUUGAUGUGUAGGAUAGGUGGGAGGCUUUGAAGUGUGGACGCCAGUCUGCAUGGAGCCGACCUUGAAAUACCACCCUUUAAUGUUUGAUGUUCUAACGUUGACCCGUAAUCCGGGUUGCGGACAGUGUCUGGUGGGUAGUUUGACUGGGGCGGUCUCCUCCUAAAGAGUAACGGAGGAGCACGAAGGUUGGCUAAUCCUGGUCGGACAUCAGGAGGUUAGUGCAAUGGCAUAAGCCAGCUUGACUGCGAGCGUGACGGCGCGAGCAGGUGCGAAAGCAGGUCAUAGUGAUCCGGUGGUUCUGAAUGGAAGGGCCAUCGCUCAACGGAUAAAAGGUACUCCGGGGAUAACAGGCUGAUACCGCCCAAGAGUUCAUAUCGACGGCGGUGUUUGGCACCUCGAUGUCGGCUCAUCACAUCCUGGGGCUGAAGUAGGUCCCAAGGGUAUGGCUGUUCGCCAUUUAAAGUGGUACGCGAGCUGGGUUUAGAACGUCGUGAGACAGUUCGGUCCCUAUCUGCCGUGGGCGCUGGAGAACUGAGGGGGGCUGCUCCUAGUACGAGAGGACCGGAGUGGACGCAUCACUGGUGUUCGGGUUGUCAUGCCAAUGGCACUGCCCGGUAGCUAAAUGCGGAAGAGAUAAGUGCUGAAAGCAUCUAAGCACGAAACUUGCCCCGAGAUGAGUUCUCCCUGACCCUUUAAGGGUCCUGAAGGAACGUUGAAGACGACGACGUUGAUAGGCCGGGUGUGUAAGCGCAGCGAUGCGUUGAGCUAACCGGUACUAAUGAACCGUGAGGCUUAACCUU